CUUAGUUAAGUUAUACUGUUCAUUUGUUGAUGAUUAUAAUGUUAUGGCUGUUUGACCAGUGUUAAAAGAUGUACUCCUGUUGCAUUUGUGGAACAUCUGUUCAGUCAGUAAAUGCAUAUGUUGUGCUGUCCAGCAGGCUGAGCCAGAUAUAUCCAGUGGUCCUGAAGUCCUGAAGUUGAGUGGUCCUCAGCUGAAUCCUUGACAUUAUUACUGUUCUAGGACAUUGAGCUUGGCCCAUUUAAAAGCUACCAAGUUCACCUCAGCAUUGUCCUGGUGUUGGUAAAUCCAUGAGCCUUCGCGUGGAUCUGUUUCUGUAUUCUGUCGGCACAUUUCUGGUCAAUUGCUGCAACUCAGUCCAUCCAACCUGGCGAAACCCUUGAUGUCCACAUACAGUAACAUUUGCUGCGCCCUUGCUGCUCCCUUGCAUCAACAGCUACAGGACAGGACAGGAGGAGGCAGCACCUUGGAAACAUCUUGACUAAUAGAGGACACUUUUAUGGCAGUGGACUUUUCGAAACCUUGGACUUCUAUCUCCCUAUGGACUGUAGUAAUAAGCCCGGGUAUACCUGGGUUAUACAACUCACAUUGUAUAACUCACAUUGUAUAACCCAAACCGCCUGUUCAACAUCAGUAAUCUUAACCAUCAAGAUGAUCUGUAAGUAUCAUACUGAGCACUCAUGUAUUUUUAUAAAAAAUCCACUACAUCCAACUUUUGCCUUGUAUGUAUUUUUCGGUGAUGUUUUUAGUAGUGUAAGAUAGGUCUUUGGGUUUUUACCAAACAGGCUAAGAUACUGUUAGUAAAAUACUUUUUUAACAUGAAAGGUAUGUUAAAUAUACAAGAAAUCUAUAUAAAAUGACAUGUAAAAACAAAAAAUUAACAGUAAAUUGUUAAAAUUUUAAA